ensembl:miRNA gga-mir-6576 gga-mir-6576
CUACAAGCAGUGUGUUUUCUCAUGGUUGUAUCUGAACACUUUGAAGGUAAAUAAAUGGAAAAGUGUCUGUAUUCCCUUGAGAGAACAUGCUGUUAGUGCUACCAUC